rnacentral:rRNA from 1 species
GAUUAACGCUAGCGGCAGGCCUAAUACAUGCAAGUCGAACGGCAGCACGGGUAGCAAUACCUGGUGGCGAGUGGCGCACGGGUGCGUAACGCGUAUGCAAUCUACCUAUAACUGGGGAAUAGCCCUCCGAAAGGAAGAUUAAAACCGCAUAAUAUCACGAGACGGCAUCGUUUUGUGAUCAAAUCUCCGGAGGUUAUAGAUGAGCAUGCGUGACAUAGCUAGUUGGUGAGGUAACGGCUCACCAAGGCUACGAUGUCUAGGGGGUCUGAGAGGAUGAUCCCCCACACUGGUACUGAGACACGGACCAGACUCCUACGGGAGGCAGCAGUAAGGAAUAUUGGACAAUGGCCGCAAGGCUGAUCCA